UGUGUGUUAGUGGAAGCGUCUGGAAAGGCGCGCGAUACAGGGUGACAGCCCCGUACACAAAAAUGCACAUGCUGUGAGCUCGAUGAGUAGGGCGGGACACGUGGUAUCCUGUCUGAAUAUGGGGGGACCAUCCUCCAAGGCUAAAUACUCCUGACUGACCGAUAGUGAACCAGUACCGUGAGGGAAAGGCGAAAAGAACCCCGGCGAGGGGAGUGAAAAAGAACCUGA
rnacentral:rRNA from 1 species